CCCACGAUCACUGGGAUCAUUGCGCGCUGCAAACGUGGACUGACAAAACUUUUGAAGUUUCUAAAAAUCACGCGUUCAACCCCUCAGCCCCCGCGCCUCCAGAUGCAACUGUACGUGGGAGUCGGUUUUGAAGGAGGUUUCUGACGAAAACAGGGUCUUCAGGGUGGGGCCUCGGCCGACAGAACCGGGGUCCUUACGGGCACGGGUGCUGGCUCCGCAGACGGAAGUCCCCAAGCCGAGAACAAGACCAAGGAGAAACCAGCUGCCGACCGGACCGAACCAGACCUAACCGGACCGAACCGUGUGACCCCCGCAGACAGCAGCAGCUCACGGACGCUCCCCCGGGAGCACGGAUCCCCGGGCCUGGCCUGCUUUCUCAGCCCCAAGACAUUGCGGAAAAAAGCAGAUGGCAGGAAAUCUUAAAAGCUGUUGCAUAAACAGCUGAAGCGAAAGAGAACAUUUACAAUACCCACAGUCCAAACAGCGUGGCUUCUGGCUGAAGACAACCGGAAGCAGAGACCACAUCCGGCAGUGCUACUGUUUUAAGGCGCUGGGAUGCUCCAGGCAAAAGGUCAUUCCUUUCCCCAGAGCAGGCAAGGAAACAUGUGAAAUUUACACACUCCUGUUAAUGUCAUAUCUGCUGAGAAAUUAGAAUGCCCCAACAUUCAAGUUCUGCAGUGAAGUGAUUUAUACUGCUUCCUGUUCCACUUCUCAAUCCUGGUGUACACCUGUAAGCCCAGCAUUUGGGAGGCUGAGGCAGGAGGAUUGCCGUGAGUUCG